GGGACUGGAAAAAGGGGAACAUCAUGCCCAUCUUUAAAAAGCGUAGAAAGGAGGACCCUGGGAAUUACCAACCUGUCAGCCUCACCUCUGUGCCUGGGAAGAUCAUGGAACAGAUCCUCCUAGAAGCUAUGCUAAGGUACAUGGAGUAGAGAGAGGUGAUUUGAGAUAGCCAGCAUGGCUUCACCAAGGGCAAGUCCUGCCUGACCAAUCUAGUGGCCUUCUAUGAUGGAGUG